ACACCACAUGUUUGCACCCCGUGUGACGUCACACAUAUCCCAGCAUUCAAGACUGACCCGGCAAACCCCGGCAAAGAACUUAUUUUAUGAAUGAAAGCUAUUAAGAAAUAAAUCAUACGCGGUUAAAGAGUUCAUGUCAUGUAAUAUUUUGUGAAAUAGCUUUUAUGUUUCAAAUUAUUUUUUUCAGCAGCAAUCGAACUAGUAUAUUUGUUUGAGUAAAUUAUUUGGAUUAUAUCUAUCACAGUAUGUCAACGUUAUGCCUAUUGUUAUUUUGGACUAUAGGGUGUAGUUUAAAAAGUCAUUCACAAUAUGGCGGCGAUUAUGCGGAAAUGAAAUUGAAUGUUACUUCGAAUACGUUCUUCUACAAAAUAACCGACCUGUAUUUAGUGCUAUUGCUUUAACAUCAAUCGAAGCAAAAAUGGCAUUUAUUUAUGUGUUUAAAAAUGUUAAAUUUAGAUGGAGACAAUCCAGAAAUGAGCUGCCAGGAAGCGAUCGAUUUCGGACACGAAGAUUGAGAAGUGCCUGGAUACAAGGCUAGUAUUGUUAACAUCAUCUGAUACAAUCAACUGGAACAAAGCUGAAAUGGCUGCCUGACCUGACUUAAAAAUUGGAUGGCAUUACAUCAGACUAGAAGAUUACAAGUAUUGAGGUGGACAAAAUGAAACCUGAGCCUACCAAAGCUGACAGAUUGCACGAGAAACACAUAAAUGCAGGCAUUUACUGAGAUAUUGUAAUUAUUUUUUGAAACUUCUCAUUCAUUUAGGAAGUUCAGUUGAAACAGAGUUGGCAAAAAAAAGAACAAAGAUUGGAAGAUUCAUUCUCUGGAAAGUAGAAAAAGGCAUGUUACAUACUGUUAUCACUGCCAUGACAGAAACCAUAUUGAGGAGCUGGUCCACCUGUAGGAAGAAUUGCGCUAUUGGUUGGAGCAGCACUAUUUCCCAGCCAUACACCAGCACUUAGUUUGUCAUAGGGAGCAUUUCUGAGCAGUUAUGGAGACCACUAACUAUGCAGUUGUUGCAGUGAAACUUGCACCAGUGUGUUUUCUGUGGAGAUAAAGAGAUAGUGUCCAGCAAUGAAGACCCAACUCAAGAUCUGACCUUGUAAGGCCAAUAUGAAAUAACUGUGUGGGAAAAUGGGAAAAACCUGCAGUCAGGAAUGCACGGAAAUCAUCAAAAGAACAGUGUUAAAUUAAUCUUGAAUAACUUGGCAUUUAUUUUGUUUGACAUAUUUAUUCAUGGUGCAGUGAAAACAUUCUUUUUUUCUCAUGGUUAUUUAAAUUUAGAAUUGAUCGGAGGGAACAUCACUAUGUAAUUUCAUGUUCAUAGUCAGAUCAAAACCCAUGUACAUGCCCAAAUGAGCAUUCGAAAAUAUCAAAAUGGUACUUGUUGUAUGUAGUGUAAGUUAAUUAACAUAAUAAAC